rnacentral:rRNA from 1 species
AGUCACUGACAUUAGAUACCCCCUGUAGUCCAGGGUGUAAACGCUGCAGGCUUGGUGUUGGAAGCCCUUUGGGGGCAUUCAGUGCCGGAGAGAAGUUGUUAAGUCUGCUACUUGGGAGUACGUCCGCAAGGAUGAAACUUAAAGGAAUUGGCGGGGGAGCACCGCAACGGGAGGAGCGUGCGGUUUAAUUGGAUUCAACACCGUAAAACUCACCAGGGAAGACUGUUACAUGAAGGCCGAGAUGAAGACUCUGCUAGAUUUUCAG